rnacentral:rRNA from 1 species
GACAGAGGCCUCAAGCGUUAGGCGGAAUCACUGGGCUUAAAGCGUGUGUAGGCGGAUCGUUAAGUGUCUUGUGAAAUCCCACGGCUCAACCGUGGAACGGGCUGGGUAUACUGCCUGUCUUGAGCCAACUAGGGGCGAGCGGAACAGACGGUGGAGCGGUGAAAUGCGUAGAUAUCGUCUGGAACGCCAAAGGUGAAAACAGCUCGCUGGGGUUGUGCUGACGCUGGAGAACACGAAAGCCUGGGGAGCGAAGGGG